GAGCUGAGGAAAGGAAGUGAAGUUGCCUGGGAGACAAACACGGGCGAUGGCAGCAGCAGCAAAGGCCCCUUCUGCACAGGGUGCUGGCCCUGAUGAUGGAGACAACACUCCCCCUCGAGUUCAGAGGGGGCACUGCGGCCUCAGCCCUGCGCGACUGACCCACUGCAGAGGAAGAGACACCAAUUCUACAUCUUCACACUAAUUCCAAGAACAUUAUCCAAUAAAGUAUCAAGUUGACACCAUUCAUCUUGCUCUCCUGUUCCAGCUCCCAGCGGGCUACAGUCAGCUGCUGAGAAGGAAUGGUGUUGCUGCAGUGGGCACACCACCACAGCGCGGGGAAGAGAGGAGACGCAGAAGUACACAAAAGCAGACACCAGAUCAGAAGUUUCGAGACACUGACUGCCCUGUUGCUGAGAGUAAACUAUGCCACCGCCUCCACAGCAGCUGUAACGGAGGAGGUUAGCAUAAGUGAUGCUCUUUACAACACCGCCUGACUGUGGAGCAAGGAUUCAGUUAUAUUCUGUGUACGGUGCUGAGAAAUUUCAGGAGGGCUAA